CUCUCUUUAAGGUGUGCACUUUAUUGAUCUGGUCUCAAGUCAGUGUACAGGGAAGCCCUGGCUGCCUGUGCCUCAACCCCACUCCCAGGGAGACCAAAAGCCUUCAUACAUCUGAAAUUGGGGGGGGGGGGACAAAAAAGGGGGACCACGAUGGCAGACCAUUCGAAAUAAAACAAAAAGAACAAGUAUUAAGGCGAAGAUUAAAAAAAAUUUGGACUACAUAAUUUACACCAAAGCAAUGUCAUCACCCUCGCCUGUGUGGACUUGGGCGAGGACUGGCCCUUCUCCUCAGGGAGAAAUGGGGUGGCUUUUGGGAAGGCAAGGGACUUCCUGUAACAAUGCAUCUCACGGUAUUUGGAAUGACUAUUAAAAAAAAAAAGAACAAUGUACAGUCAAGGUCCUCGGCCACACCGUAGAACUGUGGGGGUGCUCGCUCCAACCAGCUGCUGUCACCUUCGCCGUUCCAGUUUUUAAAUCCUGAGUCAAGCGCCAAAAAAAAAAACAAACAAAAAAAAAAAAACAAAACCAAAAAACAAAAUCCAAAAACAAAAAAAAUUAAAAAAAAAAACCAAAAAAACAAAACCGAAAAACAAAUAAAGCCAUGCCAAUCUCAUCUGUUUUCUGCGCAAGUUAGGUUUGUCAAGAAAGGGCGUAACGCAACUGAAGUAACAGUCCGCCUAGAAGCAUUUGCGGUGGACGAUGGAGGGGCCGGACUCGUCGUACUCCUGCUUGCUGAUCCACAUCUGCUGGAAGGUGGACAGCGAGGCCAGGAUGGAGCCGCCG
rnacentral:lncRNA from 1 species